CUCAGACUCGAUAGCUCUGCUCUCUGGAGCAGACGUGGUGAAGCUCCGACCCAGGAUGGACGUAGGCUAGAAUCUUCCUACUGUGGGAUUAUAUUUAUCCCACUCAAGAAGCAGAAAAGAGAGAGGAAGAACAGAGAAUGGUAACUCGAGCUAUAUGCUAGAUGCUCCAGGAUCAAAGGAGAAAGUAACCAAUCAGAAGAACUUUUAUUACCACCAAAGGAAGAAAGAUAAAUGAGCCAAUGAGGUUUCCAUCAGGAGGGUUAUUGAUGUGUUGGAAUAUGAAUCUCCCCAAAGCAGUGACUCCCUACUGGAAACUCACAGCAAGGAAGUUCAGUGACAUUUGAAGUCUCCUCCCUGCCCACUCUCCAGAGAAAAGUCAGGAUACCCUCUGCGUAUUUGUCUCCAGGGAGGUUCAGCAAAUGCUCUGGAUUCAAGAACAAACUUAUUCCGUGGUCAAAGAGCCUGGCUUCAAGUAAUGCUGUUUUUCUUCUCUAUUUGUUAACAUACAAAUCAUAAUGCUGCUUUAAAAAAGAUUUCUUGUUUGCAUUUUGAGGCGACAGUGAGCAAAUUCAGGAAAUUAUCAGACACAAGGAAAUUUUCGUCAUCUAAUGAAUGACAUCUCAUCUCUAUUGUGUUAUUAUGACUUCAGUUUUGGGUCUUAUAAGUGAGAUGAGCGAACACUUACUUGUCCCAUGACAGAACAGCAGCAAAGAUGUUUGUCUUCAUCUCUUUUGUUUUGUAACACCUACUGCUAAGUCAGUACAGUCUAGAGGUAUGGACAGCUAGAACAGCAAGGAUAUUUGAAACAUGGAAGAGUUGAAAGCAAAUUUUGAGGGCUGAACUAUAUUAUUGUUACACUACUAUUACAACGCCAAAAUCUUUGUAAGUGUACACUGUGGGUUCCACUGUAUUAUUGUUACACUGCUAUUAUCAAUGCCACCAUCUUUAUAGGUAUGAACUGUGGGUUCCAGCUCCCACUCACUGUUCAGUUUCGUCCCUCGAGAACUUCUGUCCCAUUGGUUCACUUCCCACAGUACUUUGCUCUUUGCAAAGCUCAGAUUUCAUUUUCAGUACCAUUAUCUUUUCAAACUGUCUUCUGUAGCCAAACACACAGGACUGUGAAGAUUAAGAAUUCUGUAGCUUGAGUUUGUUCAGAAUUUUAUUACUAUAAUAUCUUAUGUGGCAAGUGGCAUCUCCAUUAAAAAUAUCAAUUAACUCAGACACAGAAAGGCUGAAUAUAAUUUUUUUGAUUAAGCCUGAGCCUGUCUCGACCUAAAUCUUAAUAUUGAAAUUUGUAAUUACCAUUCUAAUUUAAUCAUUGUGAAUGGACUAUAAAUCAUGCAUGUUAAAAUUGGUGCCACUAAUGCCAUUUCUCUUUUGCUUUGUAAGCUCAUUUAU